UCGGGAAUUUUGGGCAAUGGGCGAAAGCCUGACCCAGCAACGCCGCGUGAGGGAUGAAGUAUUUCGGUAUGUAAACCUCGAAAGAAUGGGAAGAAUAAAUGACGGUACCAUUUAUAAGCUCCGGCUAACUACGUGCCAGCAGCCGCGGUAAUACGUAGGGAGCAAGCGUUGUUCGGAUUUACUGGGCGUAAAGGGCGCGUAGGCGGCGCGGUAAGUCACUUGUGAAAUCUCUGAGCUUAACUCAGAACGGCCAAGUGAUACUGCUGGGCUAGAGUGCGGAAGAGGCAACCGGAAUGCUUGGUGUAGCGGUGAAAUGCGUAGAUAUCAAGAGGAACACCUGAGGCGAAGGCGGGUUGCUGGGCCGACACUGACGCUGAUGCGCGAAAGCCAGGGGAGCAAACG
rnacentral:rRNA from 1 species